UUCAAUGGCGGUUCAGGCGGGGGAGGCUUCGGCCUCGCUGGAAGAUAGCUCCCAGUUGUGAGAACCCUGUCUGGAUCGCCACCAUC
rfam:Xenorhabdus szentirmaii DSM 16338, WGS project CBXF01000000 data, contig: XENSZ_2115_Contig_2